AAACCCUCAAGCUCAGCUUGGUGUUGGGGCCUGCCCACCGGCAGCCCUUAAAAUCAGUGGCGGUGCCAUCUGGCUCUAAGCGUAGUAAUUUCUCUCGCUAUAGGGUCCCGGUGGAGACUUGCCAAAACCCCCAAUUUUUCUAU
rnacentral:misc_RNA from 1 species